rnacentral:ncRNA from 1 species
AGUGGGGGAACCGGUGAUGCCGGUUGAGAUUGCAUUCAGAAAAAAUGCUGACCCUUUGAACCUGAUCUGGCUAAUACCAGCGAAGGGAACGUCAAAUU